AAGCAGACCAGAACAAAAUUUCAUGAUUCUGGCAUGACUAUGAUAAAUAUAUAUGAUUGAUACAAUUUAUUUAGAAGGGGACACUGAUUUACCCUUUUUAUACAAUAGUUUCCAUCACUGCCAAGGGCAGCAGAAUUAGACUUUCUGAGAAGCAGAUGCACAUGCUGUAUACUGCCACUCACUCCUAUUGUUAAAUUUUAGUGCCCAUUUAUUGGUCUGUCCGACUGCUGAUGCCUUGCCUCUGUUGAAAUGGGCAGAAAUGGCAUUUAAAAUUCCAAAGUAAUAACUGAUCUUUGUAUCCGUUUCCCUAUUGUCACACUCAAUUUUGCUUAAUCCUGCAAAAUUUUCAGGUAUCCAUUUUGCUUUUCCAUUUCAUCUAAACAUAAUUAGUUUCCCACAUGAUUCAGUGAGUGCAUCUUCCAAGGCUGUAUCGCAAAUCUCCCAGAAAACCAGUGAUUACAGUAUCUCUAAAACAUUUUGCCUAUGUAGCAUUUAUCUGUGAUGUUUUCUGUUUCUUAUUUUACCAGUGGAAGCAGCUUGUCAAACACAAAUGGCCUUAUUUCUCAGAAGCUGUCCUUUCGAAUAGUAUCUACACAUACCUUUCCAAACUGUUCAAACAUCAAUUAAACCCCUGUGAGCCUGGCUGGAAGUGGCUGUCGGAAUCAAGUGAGGCAAGGAAUGAAGCAGAAAUGUGAAGGGGAGACUUCACUUUUUUCUCUCCUUUGAAGGCAAUUAUCUAUCAUAUUCUGUAUUUUAUUGAGUGCAACAACGCUGAUGCUAUGUGACCCAUGGUUUAAGGAUGCUUCUCUGCUUACCACCAUUACAUAGAAAUCCAGAAGCCGUGUUCUGCCCUGCGAACAAUGAAGUCUUUGUUUGCCAAAGCAGCAUAGCCCAACACUUCAGAGCUUUUUAACUUUUUUUCAUAUUGGUGAUUACAUUUGCAGUUCAUGCCAGCAGGAUUAUGGAGACUUUCUCUAAAGCCCUGGCAUUCUCAGGGAAGCUGGAGAGAAAAUUGAGGUGGACAUUCCACAGAAGGAGGAGAGAUGCCGUGGAUCUGUGUGGAAGUACAGAUGCACAGCAAGUAGCAUGGACACAAGAAACCACCCUG
rnacentral:lncRNA from 1 species